GGGGGGGGGGGGGGGGGGGGGGAGGGGAGGCAGGUGGGGGGGGGCGGGCGGGUCGGGGGGCGCGCGGGUGCGUAGCGCGUGGGAACCUGCCCUGAGGGUCGGAAUAACGCCCCGAAAGGGGUGCUAAUACCGGAUAAUGUCUUCGGACCAAAGAUUUAUCGCCUUUGGAUGGGCCCGCGUUGGAUUAGCUAGUUGGUAGGGUAAAAGCCUACCAAGGCGACGAUCCAUAGCUGGUCUGAGAGGAUGAUCAGCCACACUGGGACUGAGACACGGCCCAGACUCCUACGGGAGGCAGCAGUGGGGAAUAUUGGACAAUGGGCGAAAGCCUGAUCCAGCAAUGCCGCGUGAGUGAUGAAGGCCUUAGGGUUGUAAAGCUCUUUUACCCGGGAUGAUAAUGACAGUACCGGGAGAAUAAGCGCCGGCUAACUCCGUG
rnacentral:rRNA from 1 species